GUCAGCACCAACUCACACUUACUAAAAUCGGAACGAUACAGAGAAGAUUAGCAUGGCCCCUGUGCAAGGAUGACAUGGAAAUUUGUGAUCCAGUGCAGAAAAAG